rnacentral:rRNA from 1 species
AAUGCCGGAUGUUCCACAUGAUCGCAUGUGAUUGUGGGAAAGAUUCUAUCGGCGUGGGAUGGGGUCGCGUCCUAUCAGCUUGUUGGUGAGGUAACGGCUCACCAAGGCUUCGACGGGUAGCCGGCCUGAGAGGGCGACCGGCCACAUUGGGACUGAGAUACGGCCCAGACUCCUACGGGAGGCAGCAGUGGGGAAUAUUGCACAAUGGGCGCAAGCCUGAUGCAGCGACGCCGCGUGAGGGAUGGAGGCCUUCGGGUUGUAAACCUCUUUUGUUUGGGAGCAAGCCUUCGGGUGAGUGUACCUUUCGAAUAAGCGCCGGCUAACUACGUGCCAGCAGCCGCGGUAAUACGUAGGGCGCAAGCGUUAUCCGGAUUUAUUGGGCGUAAAGGGCUCGUAGGCGGCUCGUCGCGUCCGGUGUGAAAGUCCAUCGCUUAACGGUGGAUCUGCGCCGGGUACGGGCGGGCUGGAGUGCGGUAGGGGAGACUGGAAUUCCCGGUGUAACGGUGGAAUGUGUA